rnacentral:rRNA from 1 species
UACAGAGACUGCAAGCGUUAUUCGGAUUCACUGGGCGUAAAGGGUGCGCAGGCGGCCGUGUGUGUCAGGUGUGAAAUCCCGGGGCUUAACCUCGGAACUGCGCCUGAAACUACAUGGCUAGAGUAUUGGAGAGGGUAGCGGAAUUCACGGUGUAGCAGUGAAAUGCGUAGAUAUCGUGAGGAACACCAGAGGCGAAGGCGGCUACCUGGACAAUUACUGACGCUCAGGCACGAAAGCGUGGGGAGCAAAAGGG